ACUCCUGCGGGAGGCAGCAGUGGGGAAUAUUGGACAAUGGGCGCAAGCCUGAUCCAGCCAUGCCGCGUGAGUGAUGAAGGCCCUAGGGUUGUAAAGCUCUUUCACCGGUGAAGAUAAUGACGGUAACCGGAGAAGAAGCCCCGGCUAACUUCGUGCCAGCAGCCGCGGUAAUACGAAGGGGGCUAGCGUUGUUCGGAUUUACUGGGCGUAAAGCGCACGUAGGCGGACUAUUAAGUCAGGGGUGAAAUCCCGGGGCUCAACCCCGGAACUACCUUUGAUACUGGUAGUCUUGAGUUCGAGAGAGGUGAGUGGAAUUCCGAGUGUAGAGGUGAAAUUCGUAGAUAUUCGGAGGAACACCAGUGGCGAAGGCGGCUCACUGGCUCGAUACUGACGCUGAGGUGCGAAAGCGUGGGGAGCAAACAGGAUUAGAAACCCGUGUAGUCCCAUGA
rnacentral:rRNA from 1 species